rnacentral:rRNA from 1 species
GCUUACAACCAUACCACCCUGGGCAAGUUAAGCAGGGUUGGGGCUGGUUACUACUUGGAUGGGAGACCGCCUGGGAAUACCAGGUGCUGUAAGCU